rnacentral:rRNA from 1 species
GACGAACGCUGGCGGCGUGCUUAACACAUGCAAGUGGAGCGACGAACCGGUCUUCGGACCGGGGCAGAGCCGCGAACGGGUGAGUAACACGUGGGUAACCCACCCCGAUGACCGGGACAACCCGAGGAAACUCGGGCUAAUACCGGGAUGAGCUCUCAUCUCUUGAGAGAUGUGAGGAAAGAUAGCUUCGGCCUUCGCAUCGGGACGGGCCCGCGGCCCAUUAGCUUGUUGGUGGGGUAACGGCCACCAAGGCGACGAUGGGUAGCUGGUCUGAGAGGACGAUCAGCCACACUGGGACUGAGACACGGCCCAGACUCCUACGGGAGGCAGCAGUGGGGAAUCUUGCACAAUGCGCGAAAGCGUGAUGCAGCAACGCCGCGUGGGGAAGAA